AGAGUUUGAUCAGUGGCUCAGGACGAACGCUGGCGGCGUGCUUAACACAUGCAAGUCGAACGGAAAGGCCCAGCUUGGCUGGGUACUCGAGUGGCGAACGGGUGAGUAACACGUGGGUGAUCUGCCCCAAACUUCGGGAUAAGCCUGGGAAACUGGGUCUAAUACCGGAUAUGACCUGCUCCUGCAUGGGGGUUGGUGGAAAGCUUUUGCGGUUUGGGAUGGGCCCGCGGCCUAUCAGCUUGUUGGUGGGGUAAUGGCCUACCAAGGCGACGACGGGUAGCCGACCUGAGAGGGUGAUCGGCCACACUGGGACUGAGACACGGCCCAGACUCCUACGGGAGGCAGCAGUGGGGAAUAUUGCACAAUGGGCGCAAGCCUGAUGCAGCGACGCCGCGUGAGGGAUGACGGCCUUCGGGUUGUAAACCUCUUUCGCCAGGGACGAAGCGCAAGUGACGGUACCUGGAGAAGAAGCACCGGCCAACUACGUG
rnacentral:rRNA from 1 species